GCACUCACUUUGGCAGCACAUAUACUAAAAUUGGAAUGAUAUAGAGAUUAGCAUGAUUCCUGCACAAGGAUGACACACAAAUUUGUGAAGUGUUCCACAUUUAA
rnacentral:snRNA from 1 species